AGCGAACGCUGGCGGCGUGCCUAACACAUGCAAGUCGAACGUGAAAGGGAUCAAUCCCAAGUAACGUGGCGUACGGGUGAGUAACACGUAGGUAAUCUACCCCAGAAUCUGGAUUAACCGGCCGAAAGGCUGGCUAAUACUGGCUAGAGCGACGUACUCCGUAAUUGGGUUUUUCGGGAAAGUGAGCCUGUAACACGGCCUUCGUUCUGGGAUGAGCCUGCGUCCCAUGAGCUAGUUGGCGGGGUAAAAGCUUACCAAGGCGAUGAGGUGUAGCUGGUCUGAGAGGAAGAGAAGCGACACGGGAGAUGAGCCACGGCACAGACUCCGAGGGGAGGCGGCAGGGGGGAAUAUGGGAAAAGGGGCGCAAGCCUGAUCCAGCCAUACCGCGUGGGUGAAGAAGGCCUGCGGGUUGUAAGGCCCUUUUGUGGGGAAAGAAAAGCAGCAGGUUAAUACCCCGCUGUUCUGAGGGUACCCAAAGAAUAAGCACCGGCUAACUUCGUG
rnacentral:rRNA from 1 species